AUGAGGAUCACCAAACAAUGCAACCUGCCACUUUCUUUGGGUAAGCAUUAUCGCUCAAAUGUGUUGUAUGAUGUGGUUGACAUGGAUUCCAGCCAUGUUCUUCUUGGGAGGCCUUGGCAAUUUGAUGUGGAUACUACACACAAGGGCAAGGAAAAUUCUUACUCUUUCAUUUGGAACAAGAAAAAGAUCAUUAUCUUACCAUACAAAGUUGAAGGUAAUACCUCUAAGGAGGAGGGAAAAACUAUGUUAACUAUCUCCCAUACCUCUCAUGAGUUUAUGGAAGACUUGAAGGAGGCAGAUUUGUGUGUUGCACUUAUUGUAAAGGGAGAAGAGCACCUGACUGUUGAAAUUCCAGCAAAGGUACGUGGUUUAUUGGCAGAAUUUCAGAACAUACUUGGGGAGCCACAUGGCUUGCCACCGAUGAGAGGAAUUCAACAUAGAAUUGACUUAAUUCCUGGAGCAAGUCUUCCUAAUCUUCCACACUAUUGA
rnacentral:rRNA from 1 species